UACGGAGGAUGCAAGCGUUAUCCGGAAUGAUUGGGCGUAAAGCGUCCGCAGGUGGCUAUGUAAGUCUGCUGUCAAAGACCGGGGCUUAACCCUGGAAAGGCAGUGGAAACUGAAGCGCUAGAGUGUGGCAGGGGUAGAGGGAAUUCCCGGUGUAGCGGUGAAAUGCGUAGAGAUCGGGAAGAACAUCGGUGGCGAAAGCGCUCUACUGGGCCAUAACUGACACUCAGGGACGAAAGCUAGGGGAGCGAAUGGG
rnacentral:rRNA from 1 species